UACGAAGGGUGCAAGCGUUACUCGGAAUUACUGGGCGUAAAGGGCGCGUAGGCGGCCUGUUAAGUCGAACGUGAAAUCCCCGGGCUCAACCCGGGAACUGCGUCCGAUACUGGAAGGCUUGAAUCCGGGAGAGGGAUGCGGAAUUCCAGGUGUAGCGGUGAAAUGCGUAGAUAUCUGGAGGAACACCGGUGGCGAAGGCGGCAUCCUGGACCGGCAUUGACGCUGAGGCGCGAAAGCCAGGGGAGCAAACGGGG
rnacentral:rRNA from 1 species